GGGUUUUGCCUCUGAAGCUGGAAGGUUUUCGCGAGGCGCGGUGGCGGCGGCUCCACCUGCUGGCUCCGUCCGCCUGGCGGCGAAACUUCUGUGUCUGGGAGCGGUUUUUUCCUCUUGUAACUUUAGCCCAGGCAGCGUAGGAAAGGCUUAUGAAGGAGAGAUAUGGAAGGUGAGGAACUAGGAAUUUCACUGGAAGCACGUGAGAAAUGGAGAGGACUGUAUGUACCGUCUUGUGCUCUUAAUGCACGCUUCGUCCGCCUUGCAAGACCUAGCGCUUCGAAGAGCUCUCUACUGAGGAGAAACUGAGCUGUGAGAAGAGUGAUAAAGGGGACACAAAGGAGACAGGAACUUUGGAGACUCUGGAAAACCUGACAGGUUGGAGAAGUACAAGAAAGAGCACUCUGGAUGCAUUUUGCAGUUUGAACUCAAGGAUCGAAGACUGACAUCAAGGCGGUUGUUUGAGGCAUCCAAGUGAUACUGACACCUGUCCAGUCUCUCAUUAAACAGUUUUGUGAAAGUUUCUAAAUUCUAACAUGAGAUUCCAAGGAUGCAUCUUGCCACCAUCAGGGCUGCCACCUGAGAUUCGCCUUUGGAGCCACAAAAGGACAGGAUAAGAACCAGAGGUGAAUUACCAGUUUGAGGGAGAGAAAUCUACAGGAUCAGGAAGAAAGCAGAGGUGACUAAAUGGAGAUGGGUGGGAGUUUCUGUAGUUUCUGUUGCCUCUUGACUAGGUCUGCUCUCCCAUGGUGAACAUUCAUAUUUAGGUGACAUAUUUAAGCACGCUAUAUUUAAGGCAGGGAUAGUCUGUGAUCUAACAUACUAGUAUAGGAAAAGAAAUUAACAUGAACUGAGUGCUGACUGUAUGCCAGCUGCUGAGUUAGGUGCCUUACAUAUGUAAUAUGAUUUGAUUAUCCCCAUACCUAUUUAUACUAGAUGUUAUUGCAGAGAGUAGGAAUAGAGGGGUUAAAUAACUUGCCUAAAGUCAUAGAAGUAAUAAAUGACAGAGCUAAGGCUUGAAGAAUAGCUAGCUGCUUUAUUACUCCAUCUCCUAGUAAAUUCUAUUUUAUGCAACCUGGUGAUGAACCACUUUUACCUUGGCAGUGUUGAUUGCAGCUCCAUAGCCAGUUGAAAAUCCACAUCCAAACAGACAAGCUCUCUCUAAAUUUACAUCAUCAUCGAUUUUGGCAAGAUUUAUAUCUGACACUACAGUGUACUGAGUGAAGGUACUGGUCCCCAUGAAAUGGUAAAUUGGUUUUCCUUUGCAGGUAAACCUGCUGGUUUUGUCUUCCAUUAGUUCUUGAUCAACAAUAGGAUUUUUGACUAGACUAGAAAAUAAAAAAAAUUAAAAAUUAAAAAAAACAAGAUAAUAAAGAGAGAACAUAAAUAGACCACUGGUUACAUUACUGAAAAAACAGUUAAGUGUUAUAUAUUUGUUAUGACACUUUUAUGAGAUAGAAAAAUUGAGAAAAUGACUUGAGUCUUUUCACCUAAAUAUAUAGUCAGAAGUACUCUAAAGUUAAUAAUGAUAAUAAACUUUUUAUUGAAUAUUUUUUAUGUGCCAGAAACUCUCUUGAGGGUUUGUAUGUAAUAAUUCUUAGAAAAAAACUUAUGGAAACUCAACUGUACAUAAAUGGAGAAAUACUAGCCUUUUGAAUGCCUGUGCAAUUAUAUCCCAGCUUUAGCAGUUAUCAACUCAGGGCUGUUCUUCUGGCAUCUUUUACUCCCCCAACCCCCACCUCAAGGCUCACUCUUCCCCAGCACCUACCCUCCCCAAUGGGAUGGUUUCGAAGUAAACCCCACUCAUUACUGUUUCAUUUGUAAAUAUUUUAUUAUGUAUCUCAAAGAGAUUCUUUUAGGUUGAGAUAUUGCAUUUAGUUGACGUGUGUUAUCUCUUUUAAUUGAUAGGUUCUCACCUCCCUCCUUGUUUUUUUCUUUGAAAUUUAUUUGUUGAAGAAACAGUCAUUUGUUCUGUACAGUUUUUCCAUUCUGAAUUUUCCUGAUUACAUUCCUAUAAUUGGGUGUAACACAUUUUCCCAUCCCUGUAUUUCCUCUUAACUAGUAUUUUCAAUCUAACUGGUUGAUUUAAUUUAGGUUUUAUAUUUUUGUAGGAAUAUUUCAAAGGUGGUGCUGUGAAUUUUCAUCUGGAGGUACAUAAUACCUUAUUAUCUCUCUUUUUGUGGAGUUAGAAAUAAUUGAUGGUCAUUGCCAAAAUCUAUUAUUUUAUUUAAAGUUUGCAAAGGGUUGUAUUAAUGCUUUAACUAUCUAUAAUAACCCUGUGAAGUAAGCAUUAUUAUUAUUCCCAUCUUAUAGAUGAGGAAAUUGAGGCACAGUAAUUAGAUGUAAGAGUAGUACAAUUUUAGCUUCUGAAAUAACUAGCUUCAAUCGACAUUAAAGAAUAAUAUGGGGAUCCCUGGGUGGCGCAGCGGUUUGGCGCCUGCCUUUGGCCCAGGGCGCGAUCCUGGAGACCCGGGAUCGAAUCCCACAUCGGGCUCCCGGUGCA